rnacentral:rRNA from 1 species
GAUGAACGCUGGCGGCGUGCCUAAUACAUGCAAGUCGAGCGAAUGGAUUAAGAGCUUGCUCUUAUGAAGUUAGCGGCGGACGGGUGAGUAACACGUGGGUAACCUGCCCAUAAGACUGGGAUAACUCCGGGAAACCGGGGCUAAUACCGGAUAAUAUUUUGAACUGCAUGGUUCAAAAUUGAAAGGCGGCUUCGGCUGUCACUUAUGGAUGGACCCGCGUCGCAUUAGCUAGUUGGGGAGGUAACGGCUCACCAAGGCAACGAUGCGUAGCCGACCUGAGAGGGUGAUCGGGCACACUGGGACUGAGACACGGCCCAGACUCCUACGGGAGGCAGCAGUAGGGAAUCUUCCGCAAUGGACGAAAGUCUGACGGAACAACGCCGCGUGAGUGAUGAAGGCUUUCGGGUCGUAAAACUCUGUUGUUAGGGAAGAACAAGUGCUAGUUGAAUAAGCUGGCACCUUGACGGUACCUAACCAGAAAGCCACGGCUAACUACGUGCCAGCCGCCGCAGUAA